AGACGCCAUAUUGACUGUUACUCUUACACGCACCUGACGCGACAUCUGUCCACCAUUUUCCGUACUACAUUUUAAUAGACCGAUCGUUUUGUCGUCUUAGAUUAAAAAGCGGGAGCGUAAUUAUGCAACCAAAUAACAGUGAAUUUGAAAAAAGAAAAGUAAAUUAAGAAACAAUUAAGAAGAGAGCUCACAUUCUACUAUAACUCACUGAUAUCUAUCGCCAUCUUUAAUGUGUUUACGGAGGCAGAGAAACAUUCUUAUGAAACAUAAAAUCAAUAAAAGCUAUACUGUAAAUAGCUAAUACGUUUCUGUAAAAUCUACAAGAACACACGCAAUGUUUAAAGUAGAUAUUCAGUCACUAAGAUCAAGAGCGAGGAAAUAGGGUAGGCCAGAAUUAUUCAAUGAUAACGUACGAUUGGAUAUGUAUGAGUGUAUUUAACGUGUAAUUAUAUUCAAACACUUAGUGAUAUUAAGCAACGUUGCACAACCGUGGCACAACUGCAAAGAUGCACCCCGCCGAUCGUAUUAUGACCAUACAAAAUUACUGGCAAUUUUCACCAACAAAAUAUCAAUUACUCCUAUAGUUUGUUUAACAAAUCAACGAAACAAUCCAACAACAAAUACGUAUCACUUCCUAACUUGUUUUCGAACACGAAGCUCGACAAGGUUUGAACGUUAGAGUCUAGCUACAAAUCGACCGGCAUUUUUAACAUCGAUUCACAAAUAAGUGUGAAUGUUACGAACAGCAAUGAUUGUAUAAUAUCAUUUUGCGCUAUACAUCUAUCGAAUUUCCUACGAAAAUAGCCGACUACGUUCAACUAUCAGACAACAAACCUUCGUAUACCUAUAAUGUAACAUCGUACGUCAUAGAUGCUAUCGUUCUUCGGGGAUGAAUAUGAUUUUUCAUGUGACAUAAAUAUACAAUUGCUCAAAUAUUGUAAAAAAAGAAGUCAAUGCGAUGUAUAUUAUAUUCUUGCGAUAAAAGGAAAAGAGUUCUUUUAAAAAGCUUUUAAUAUAAUAAUAACGAUACGAUAACGAUUGUAACUUGCAACAACUCAAAGUCUGAUUUGAAAUUCUUGAAAGCAAAUCCUUGACCGCUUAAUUAUAUUCGCGAUUAAUCACAAAUAUGUUAUCGUAGAUAGACGUGUAGUUCAGAGAUCGCGAGUAUCCCUUCAAGCGACAUACUUUACACUCAAUGCAAAUUCCACAUAAAUUAUCUACGAAUUUUGAUGAUGAACGUGUUAAAUAGAUACAUGCUUUCACAGUAUACGUACCAAUGCAUGUUUUUAAUGUCAAAUUACUCUUAUUUCAUAAACUUGACUAAGAUCAUCUUGCUGACAAUAUCUAUCAGUAUGUA